rnacentral:rRNA from 1 species
AUGGAGGUCCUAGAUUCAAUCGUGGAGGUGAAGGAGGGUUUGCUAGAGGGAGAUUCAACUACAGUAACAGGGGGGUGGAUGGAAUGGAGAAGAUAUACUACAACUGACAGAUUUGGCAGUUUUGGAAGAGGAGGUGGUAGAUUUGGUGCUGGGAAUGAGGGUGGCAGAGGAGAUGAAGAUGAAGACGAAUUCGCCGCAGAAGGAAGGGAAGAAAAUCUGAUUUGGCAAGCUAAGACAGGAAAGAAAGAGGCAGUGGAAGAUAUGAUGGGGAGAGCAAAUGGUGAGGGAGACAGCUCUGGAAUGGAGAAAGGUAAGGAGAAAGAUACGAUGAUCCAGAAAGAGCAGAGUGCUCAGCAACAGCUACUGACCUCUCUGCUCUCUCAGUUAGUGCAAGGACUAAGAGGAGGGGAGAAAGAGAUGAUAGAAGGAGCGAUUGGAAAAUCUGUGGAGGUUCAGUCUGGUAGAGAUGGCAUGAGGAGAGAAGAGAAAACCAGAGAUCCCAUGCAGAAAGCUGACAAGAAAAGUGACCAAGAUCCAGUGAUGGAGAUGAAGAAACAGGGGGGAGAGGCAACUGGCAGUUGA